UUGUCAGGUAAAACUGAGGAGACCAGUAUUUUAGAAAUAUUUAAACUGCUGGAUUCCCUUACUAUUACAGAGAGAUAGAGUUGAAGUGUAAUUUGGGUUUAUUUUUUUUUCAAGGGGUAGUCAAAUGUUUGAUGUGAACAUUUUUAAGGUUUCAGUUGUUCCUGUCAUGGGACAGCAGCAGAUACAUCUGCUCACUAGUCACAGGUUCUCAUUAUCUGUCUAAAUAAAGCUAUGUGGAAGAAGGAAUCUGAAACCAUAUUGAUCUACAUGUCACUGUUAAUUGUUAAAUUCAAAGGAAGACA
rnacentral:lncRNA from 1 species